CCCAUUGAAGAUGAGGAGCUGAACCAGUACAUCAUGCAAGGAUUGGACGUGGAGUUGAAUCGCCGAUCGUGUCGGCCAUCCUCGCGCGUAUCGAAGGAACAUCCUUCUCCGAGCUCUUCUCCCAGCUUCUCAGCUUCGAAC